rnacentral:lncRNA from 1 species
AAAAGAAAAUCUCCAUCCUUCUCGGCUCUCUCCCUCACAGAACAAAAAGAAGAAAACACUCCCUCACUUUGCACACGGCUCACUCUCUCCCUCUCUCGGACCUGGCAGAGGAAAGAAACAGAAAACACACAAGAAGAAGAAGAAAAAUCCCCCUCAAUCUCUCGGUUCUCCUUUCUCUUUCCCCUCUCAAUCUCACACACACCUACAUUGAGGUAAUUUUAGUUUUGUUUAGCACAUUAAGGCAUGCUUCAUUGUUUAAUUUUCUUUUGCUUUUGCUGGUUUCCUUGUUGUUGUUGUAUUGUUAAAAAAUUGGGAAAUGGCAUGAACCAGAUUUAGGAAAAGGAAAGGUUUCUUGUGAAUGCAUGUUAAUUGUUUGAAAAAAUGCCAAAAAGAAUUUUAGGGACUGUUUUACCUUAAUGUAGUCUUUUGUUGUUGUUUUCUGGUUAGCUAAGAUUAUAGUUGUAAUGUAGAGAUUAUAAGGAGUAUUGUAAUAUUUUUUUAUGAUUUUUGGUGGGGGUUUAAAGGUUUUUAAGAAAAUAAAAACUGGACUGAUUUCUUGGCUUUUUGGCCACUUUAGGGCCAAUUUUUGUUAAAACUAAGCCCGAAAAUGGAAUCUACGCGAAAAAUCGAGUGGGGGGUGUAUUUUGACGACCGCCGCCGCCGGCGGUCGCCAUGGCCGCCAGCUGAAGCUGCCUCAGCUGGCCGAAGAAGAGGAAAAAGAAACGGCUGAAGGUGGAGGAAGAGGAAAAAAGACACAAAAAAAAAAGAGGCUCUCGGCUCUCUCUGGGCUGGACGAAAAGAAGAAGGAAAAAAAAAAGAGAAAAACUCCUCUCUCC